rnacentral:pre_miRNA from 1 species
UAGCUAGAAAAUAACUUAUUAUGUAGCCACUUAAUUUGAGUUACGAUAAUUACUAUGUUAAUUUAUAAGAUUAUAGUAACUCCAUACUAAGUGGUUUAAUAUAACAUUAUGGUAAAUAUCUCAAUGAGUUAUAGUAACUCAACUAUUAUAAAUAUGUAUUUAUAUUAUCGUAAAUUAGUAUAUAAAAUUAUCGUAAAUAGAGGUGGCUAUAAAAUAACUUAUUUUGUAGCUG